rnacentral:rRNA from 1 species
GGGUUGUGAGGUUAAGCGACUAAGCGUACACGGUGGAUGCCCUGGCAGUCAGAGGCGAUGAAGGACGUGCUAAUCUGCGAAAAGCGUCGGUAAGGUGAUAUGAACCGUUAUAACCGGCGAUGUCCGAAUGGGGAAACCCAGUGCAAUUCGUUGCACUAUCGUUAACUGAAUACAUAGGUUAACGAGGCGAACCGGGGGAACUGAAACAUCUAAGUACCCCGAGGAAAAGAAAUCAACCGAGAUUCCCCCAGUAGCGGCGAGCGAACGGGGAGCAGCCCAGAGUCUGAAUCAGCUUGUGUGUUAGUGGAACGGUCUGGAAAGUCCGACGGUACAGGGUGAUAGUCCCGUACACCAAAAUGCACAGGUUGUGAACUCGAAGAGUAGGGCGGGACACGUGGUAUCCUGUCUGAAUAUGGGGGGACCAUCCUCCAAGGCUAAAUACUCCUGACUGACCGAUAGUGAACCAGUACC